CUGAGAUUUGGAUACACUUUUCUCUCAUUAUUGAAGAAGUCGGUUGGGGGGAGAGAGAGAGAGAGACAAACACUUUUUCAUUAUUUUCUUUAGUUUUUGGCAAAUUCCUCUCUUCUUCUCUCUUCUCCGACAUUUUUUGAGUCUCACCAAGUGAAAUCUUUAUAUCAAUUUUGGGUUAUUUUUUCGGUAUAAUUUCUGUAGUGUGGCACGUAUUCUGGGGCCGGUGAUUUGGUUAUUUUACAGUUGGCUACCGAUAUUUUGUGUGUUUUUGACAACAGAUUUUUUGGUCCAUUUUUGUUCAGAUUUUAUACUGUAAAUUGAUGCUACAUUUGAGUUCAGGUCAGGUCAGUUAGGCCUAUUUUGUGAGGUCUUUUGAAAGGCUGAUGAUCUGUAAAUUUCUUGGGUGUAAUCUGAAUCUUUGUAAACAAAUUCGUGUUCUCUCUUGGGUAGUUCUUGCAUAGUGAUAGGCUUGAGUUUUUUGCCUCUGAACCCCCUAGAUUAGGUUUGGCCGAAUUGGGUGAACAAUUACUGCAUUCUUUAAUUUUCUGUAUAGUUUUCUUUUUGCUGUGGUUGAGUAUUUGGUGAUUUAAACCGCACUUUGGAAUAAAAAUCCCGACAAAAUUGUUAUCAAAGCCUCUAAGGCAUGGGUAAGGAUCUGCGAAUAGAGUUUAAUUUUUUUUAUCAUAUUGAUGUGUUCCAUUUGAUCUGUGCAGUACAAUAAGUAAUUUGAACGAAAGUUCUUGGAGCUAGGAUUUUGGAUUCCGACUUUGUAGUAAAUCACUGGAGUAGAUUUAAUACUGUUAUACAUAGUAUUUGGUGAGAAUGUUCUAAUUUAGUUCAUAGUAUUUGAUCUGCAUGUGCUCUUGUAUCAUAUGUGAAUCUGUGAAUAUUAUUGUGGUUUGAAUUUAUUUAAGAAUUGAAUAAAUUGUUAAAUUGGAAUAGAAACACGUAUUAUGAUAUUUUAGUUUUCUGUAAUCAGAUUGUUUGACACCAACCGUUAGAAAUCUGUAUAUAACUGUGUUUUUCAUUCUGUUAUCUGCUUAUCUGAAGUUAUCUACAAAACAUUUUUCCAAAACAUUUUCUGCAACUUAAGUGAUCUGAUUUAUUAAAAAUCACUUAUGUUUACGAGUAGUAGCCACCCUUUUACAAAACCUGCAAUAGGUUCGAAGGUCGAAUUGUCUAAAUUCGAUGAAAAGGGGGAUUACUCGGUUUGGAAGCAGAAAAUGAGGGCCAUAUUGGUCCAACAAAGGGUUGCUAAAGCCCUUGAAGAUCCUGAAUUUUUUUUUGAUGAAUUGAAAGCUAAGCCUGAUGAAAUUCUAGAUAUGAAUGAAAUUGCAUAUAGUUCUAUCAUAUUGUACUUAUCUGAUAACACUGUAAUACAAGUUGAAGAACACAAAACCGCUAGAGAAUUAUGGACUACAUUAGAUACUUUGUUUCUGACUAAGAUGCUGCUAAAUAAAAUUUACCUCUUAGAAAAACUAUUUAGAUUCAGAAUGGAUGUUGGAAAGGACUUGGAAACUAAUUUGAGUAACUAUAACAUUUUGGUCAAAAGACUUUCUCAUAAUGACAAAAAAAUUGAAGAUGAGGACCUUGCAGUGAUCCUUCUUAAUUCUCUACCCGAUUCCUAUAGGGAUCAAGAAUGCAAUAGAAUAUCCUAGAGAUGCUUUAACACAAUAUAUUGUCAUCAAUGAGUUAAAAUCUCCAGAAUUGGAAAUUUAGAGAGAGUCUAGAAGUUCGAGGGCGGAAAGUAUGUUUGUGAGAGGAAGAACUGAAAAGAAGGAAGGCAACUCAAACAACAGAAGAUUCAAAUCGAAAUCAAAAACUAGAUCUAAAUCACCAGAUAAAAGCAAUAAAAAGUUCUACCACUUUGGGAAAUUGGGACACUUUAAACGUGAUUGCUUUGAAUGGAAGAAGAAAUCAAAAGAUCAUACUAAUGAAGAUUUGAAUAAUUCUGCGAUUGGUUCUGAGUUAGACAGUUUUCUUGUAAUGACUGUGUCUGGUAAAGAAGUUGAUAAAGACUGGAUCUUUGAUUCAGGGUGUACAUUCCACAUGUAUCCCAAUAAAUCUUAGUUUAAUAAUUACAAAAAAAUUGAGCCCAGGAAAGUAUGUAUGGGCGAUAAUAACUCUCAAAGCGUUCUUGGUAUUGGUAACAUUGCGAUUAGAAUGUAUGAUGGCAUUGUCUGGAAAUUGAAGAAUUUGAGACAUGUCUCGAAUUUGAAAAGAAAUCUCAUCUCGUUGGGAUCUCUUGAAGAUGAGGGACAUUCUUUCAAGUCUGAAAAUAACAUCUUGAAAGUUAUGAAGGAAUCUUUGGUGAUAUUUAAGGGACCAAAAAGAAACGGAUUGUACUAUCUUUUGGGAGAGACAUUUACCCCUCAAGAUGCUAAAUCUUUGACCAUAAUGGAAAAUAAAUUCGAAUUGUGGCACAAAAGAAUGAGACAUAUAGGAAAUAAAGGUUUAAAGUAUCUAAGUAAUCAAAAGUUGCUUGGGAAGGAUACAAUUGAGCCUCUUGAAUUUUGUGAACAUGUGUGUUGGGCGAGUCACAUAGGGUGAGCUUUGAGACUUGUUCACCUACCACCUCUAGGCCCCUAGACUAUGUCCACUCAAAUUUAUGGGGACCAGAAAGUCAUUCUACCUUUGGAGGGAAUAAAUACUUUCUUUUUACAGUUGAUGACUACUCCAGAAAAAGUUUGGACUUAUCCAUUGAAAUCUAAAUUUGAGGCUUUUCAAAAAUUCCAAAAUUGGUUGAAGAUGGUAAAAAAUCAACUUGAUAAGAAGUUAAAAACUCUAAGAAUUGACGAUGGAUUAGAAUUUUGCAAUGUUGAGUUUGGUAACUUCUGUAAGCAAAAGGGAUUGUAAGACACAGAACUGUUAAGCACACACUACAACAAAAUGGGGUCGCAAAAAGAAUGGAUAGAACUCUAACGAACAAAGUAAGAUGUAUGCUAAUCAGUUCUAGAUUAGCGUAAGGUUUUUGAGCAGAGGCUUUAUCUACAGCUGCCUAUCUUAUAAAUCGAUCUCCAUGUAGUUCUAUUGGAUUUAAAACUCCACAGGAACUUUGGACGGGAAGACCCCCAAACCUUUCUCAUAUUAGGGUGUUUAGAUGUACGGCAUAUGCACAUCAAGUUAAAGGAAAGUUAGACCCUAGAGCUACUAAGUGUGUGAUGCUUGGGUAUCUGGAAGGUAUUAAAGGGUAUAGGUUAUGGGUAUUGGGCGUUCAAGGCAUUAAAAUCAUUAAUAGUAGAAAUGUGAUAUUCAAUGAAUUCGAAAUGCCAUGCUUAAAGAACAAAAUUGAUAAUUCUAAAGAGCAAACUAAUGAGACUACUUCACGGAAUGAGGUGAAGCUAGCAAGGCUAAACCCCACUCAACAUGAAAAUAUUGAAGAGGGUGUUCAACAACCUGAUGAAAAUUUUGUUGACACGGAUGAAGGUGAAGUAGGUCCGAGUGAAGUCAAAAUUGAAAUUGAAAAUCCAAAUGUUCCCAUUAUUGAUACAAAUGUUCAAGAUUAUCAAUUGAUGAGAGAUAGGGAAAGUAGGCAAAUCAAACCAAAUCCAAGAUAUGAAAUAAAUAAUUUGAUCGACUUUUCCCUUAUCUCGGGUGAAUCUUUAGAGUAUUUAGAACCUUCAUCAUAUGAAGAGGCUAUUAAUAGCUCUAACUCUGAAAGAUAGAAAGAUGCAAUGAAAGAAGAAAUGAAAUCUUUACUUGAAAACAACACGUGGAAAUUGUAAAGAAACCCAAAAAUCAAAGAGUUGUUCAAUGUAAAUGGAUUUUUAAACUAAAAGAUGGGAUUGUGUCAUCUGACCCUUUGAACUAUAAAGCGAGGCUAGUGGCCAAAGGAUUUAGUCAAAAGGAGGGUGUUGACUACAAUGAGAUCUUCUCCUCGGUUGUCAAAUAUAAGACCAUAAUGUUGAUGCUUGCACUAGUUAUUCAGUUCAAUUGGGAAUUCAAACAAUUAGAUGUCAAGAUGGCUUUCUUGCACGGUGAAUUAGACGAAGAGAUCUAUAUGAAUCAACCUCAAGGGUUUGAGGUAAAAGAGAAGAGAGAUUAUGUGUGUAAAUUGCAAAAGUCAUUGUAUGGGCUCAAACAAAGUCCAAUGCAAUGGUACAUUAGGUUUGACACAUAUGUGUUGAAAAUUGGUUUCAAAAGGGGUGAAUAUGAUCACUGUUUGUACUAUAAUAACACUAGGGCUGGUAGUGAAAUUUAUUUACUUCUAUAUGUUGAUGACAUGCUAUUGGCCAGCUCUAGUAAAAUUGAAAUCUUGAGACUUAAAGGGCUUCUAAAAUCAGAAUUUGAUAUGAAGGACUUGGGAAAUGCUAAGAAAAUUUUGGGAAUGGUUAUCAACAGAAAUAGGCAAGAAAACAUUUUAAUUAUCACACAAAGUGUUUAUUUGAACAAAGUUGUAACCAAAUCUGGCAUGAAAGAAGCUAAGAAAGUUAAUGUAUCUCUUGCAGCCCAUAUGAAUUUAUCAUUAUCUCAGUCUCCUAAAACUGAAAGUGAAAUGGAAGAAAUGAAAAAUAUCCCAUAUGCUAAUGCAUAGGAUCAUUCAUGUUUUCUAUAAUUACCACUAGUCCAAAUUUGGCUUAUGCUAUAAGUUUCUUAAGUAGAUUCAUCUCUAAUCCGGGAAAACCUCAUUGGUUGGGGUUAAAAUGGCUUCUAAGAUAUAUUGCUGGGACAUUAGAUGCGGGAUUGGUGUUUGAAAAAAGAUUUGAACAGCUCUCUUUAAAGAGGUAUGUACAAUUUUUUCGGUACAAGGAUCAAAGAAAGUCUACUACGCCCUAUUUCUUUCACACUUGGUGAUAAUUUCAUCGCAUAGAAGUCACAACUUCAAUCUAUUAUCACAUUAUCCAGCAUGGAGGCUGAAUAUGUGGCAAUAACCGAAUCUGUAAAAUAAUGUAUUUGGUUAAAAGGAAUUUUUGGGGAGUUCAAUUUUUUGCAAGUGUCACCCAUUAUUUUAACCGAUAGUCAAAGUGCUUUACUUUUAUGUAAAAACCCGAUUUAUCAUGAAAAAUCUAAACAUUCAUAUGUGAAAAAAUUGCUUGUGGUGAUGUUAUACUUGAAAAAAUUCAUACUGAUGUGAACCUAUCUAAUAUGGGAACCAAAAUUCUAAAUGUAUGUAAAUUUAAGUCUUGUUUAUCUUUACUACAUAUUGAUACGGGUUAAUUUCUUUUGCAGGUACAAAGGACGAUGAUGUAGGGCAAAAAUAUUACUAUCACACGCAAUGUGGCAACUAGAAAGAGCUAGGGGUUUGUGAAAAUAAGGUGAAGAUUGAGAAAAUGUUUCCAAAACCCAAUAACACCUUUCCUUUGAGGGAGAAAAAAGAUUCUUUAAGUUGUUGGCCACAUGACAGCCUACUAUUGGCCACUUACUAUUUCAUAUGAACUUGUGUUUAUUUGAAAUAAUGUGGACCAUUGAUUUAAAAUGAAGGGCUGAGAUUUGGAUCCACUUUUCUCUCAUUAUUGAAGAAGCCGGUUGGAGAGAGAGACAAACACUUUUUCAUUAUUUUCUUUAGUUUUUGGCAGAUUCCUCUCUUCUUCUCUCUUCUCCGGCAUUUUUGAGUCUAUCAGUUUUGGCUUAUUUUUCCAACAUAACUUCUGUAGUGAGGCCCAUAUUCUGGGGUCGGUGAUCUGGUUAUUUUACAGUUGGCUGUCAGUAUUUUGUGUGUUUCCAACAGAAAGUUUUUUUGUCCAUUUUUGGUCAAAUUUUAUACUGUAAAUUGAUGCUACAUCUGAGUCAGGUCGGUUAGGGCUAUUUUGUAAGGUCUUUUGAAAGGUCGAUGAUUUGUAGAUUUCUUGGGUGUAUUCUGAAUCUUGUAAAGGAACUCGUGCUCUCUCUUGGGUGGUUCUUGCAUAGUGACGGGCUUGGGUUUUUUGCCUCUAAGCUCCCCUAGAUUAGGCUUGGCUGAACUGGAUGAACAAUUACCGCGUUCUUUAAUUUUCUGUAUGAUUUUCUUAUUGCAAUGGUUGAGGAUUUGGUGAUUUAAACUGCACUUUGGGAUAAAAAUCCCAACACUUCCGUUAAUGUUUAUUAUUUGAAAAAUAAACCAAUGGCCAUUGCUAAACCUACAAAGG
rnacentral:lncRNA from 1 species